AUAAUUCUGCCUUGCAACAUUCCGAAGAAUAGUCCCAUGCUUGAGGCAGAUGCUGAAAAAUUGUUGGUUCAGAAGCUAAUCAAUCUUGGGUACACAAGGCCAAAGUCCGAAGGAUUCUAGUCGUAGCUGGGGCUUUUUGAUUCUGCUGGAUAUGAGGAAUGUUUACUAGUCGUAAAGUUGACACUUUUCGCGGACUAUGGUGUUAUUAAACAUGCAUCAGGCUAUGGUUCACUUGCAAGGAAUGAGUAUCAUUCUCACAUGGUUUACAAAGAGGAGUGGAAUUGGAAGGAAAGAGUUUAUGUGGUUCAAAUUCGUUUUUGGCGAAAAUUGGACCUAAGAUCUCUCACUUAUAAGUGAAGAUGAAUAUUACAUCGUAGUACUAAGUGACCAAGCACUUACUAACAUAGGGAAUGAAUAAAUAAGUGGAUAUCUUGUUGAUUUUGGUACGACAUACCUGAAAAAUUAAGGUAUGGGAUAAUCACGGGGUGGUGGGUGUUUAUCCCAUUCCCAUUCUUUCUCA